rnacentral:rRNA from 1 species
CCAAGGCUUCGACGGGUAGCCGGCCUGAGAGGGUGACCGGCCACACUGGGACUGAGACACGGCCCAGACUCCUACGGGAGGCAGCAGUGGGGAAUAUUGGACAAUGGGCGGAAGCCUGAUCCAGCAACGCCGCGUGAGGGAUGACGGCCUUCGGGUUGUAAACCUCUUUCAGCACAGACGAAGCGCAAGUGACGGUAUGUGCAGAAGAAGGACCGGCCAACUACGUGCCAGCAGCCGCGGUAAUACGUAGGGUCCGAGCGUUGUCCGGAAUUAUUGGGCGUAAAGGGCUCGUAGGCGGUUUGUCACGUCGGGAGUGAAAACCAGGUGCUUAACACCUGGCCUGCUUUCGAUACGGGCAGACUAGAGGUACUCAGGGGAGAAUGGAAUUCCUGGUGUAGCGGUGAAAUGCGCAGAUAUCAGGAGGAACACCGGUGGCGAAGGCGGUUCUCUGGGAGUAUCCUGACGCUGAGGAGCGAAAGUGUGGGGAGCGAACAGGAUUAGAUACCGUGGUAGUCCACACUGUAAACGUUGGGCGCUAGGUGUGGGAUCCAUUCCACGGGUUCCGUGCCG